rnacentral:rRNA from 1 species
AUUGAACGCUGGCGGCAUGCCUUACACAUGCAAGUCGAACGGCAGCACGGGUGCUUGCACCUGGUGGCGAGUGGCGAACGGGUGAGUAAUACAUCGGAACAUGUCCUGUAGUGGGGGAUAGCCCGGCGAAAGCCGGAUUAAUACCGCGUACGAUCCACGGAUGAAAGCGGGGGACCUUCGGGCCUCGCGCUAUAGGGUUGGCCGAUGGCUGAUUAGCUAGUUGGUGGGGUAAAGGCCUACCAAGGCGACGAUCAGUAGCUGGUCUGAGAGGACGACCAGCCACACUGGGACUGAGACACGGCCCAGACUCCUACGGGAGGCAGCAGUGGGGAAUUUUGGACAAUGGGCGAAAGCCUGAUCCAGCAAUGCCGCGUGUGUGAAGAAGGCCUUCGGGUUGUAAAGCACUUUUGUCCGGAAAGAAAUCCUUGACUCUAAUACAGUCGGGGGAUGACGGUACCGGAAGAAUAAGCACCGGCUAACUACGUG